GACGAACGCUGGCGGCGUGCUUAACACAUGCAAGUCGAACGGAAAGGCCCUGCUUUUGUGGGGUGCUCGAGUGGCGAACGGGUGAGUAACACGUGAGUAACCUGCCCUUGACUUUGGGAUAACUUCAGGGAACUGGGGCUAAUACCGGAUAGGAGCUCCUGCUGCAUGGUGGGGGUUGGAAAGUUUCGGCGGUUGGGGAUGGACUCGCGGCUUAUCAGCUUGUUGGUGGGGUAGUGGCUUACCAAGGCUUUGACGGGUAGCCGGCCUGAGAGGGUGACCGGCCACAUUGGGACUGAGAUACGGCCCAGACUCCCACGGGAGGCAGCAGUGGGGAAUAUUGCACAAUGGGCGGAAGCCUGAUGCAGCAACGCCGCGUGCGGGAUGACGGCCUUCGGGUUGUAAACCGCUUUCGCCUGUGACGAAGCGUGAGUGACGGUAAUGGGUAAAGAAGCACCGGCUAACUACGUG
rnacentral:rRNA from 1 species